CACGUAUGGGGCGAGCGUUGUUCGGAAUUACUGGGCGUAAAGGGUGCGUAGGCGGUUCAGCAAGCUCGGUGUUAAAUACCCCGGCCCAACCGGGGGGCUGCGCUGAGAACUGCUGGGCUUGAGUUCAGGAGGGGAAGCUGGAAUUCCUGGUGUAGGGGUGAAAUCUGUAGAGAUCAGCAAGAACACCGGUGGCGAAGGCGAGCUUCUGGCCAUGGACUGACGCUGAGGCACGAAAGCGUGGGGAGCGAACAGG
rnacentral:misc_RNA from 1 species